UACAGAGGGGGCAAGCGUUAUUCGGAAUUAUUGGGCGUAAAGGGCGCGUAGGCGGCUUGGCAAGUGGAAGGUGAAAUCCCUCGGCUUAACCGAGGAACUGCCUCCCAAACUGCUUGGCUUGAGACCAGGAGAGGUGAGUGGAAUUCCCAGUGUAGCGGUGAAAUGCGUAGAUAUUGGGAGGAACACCAGUGGCGAAGGCGGCUCACUGGACUGGCACUGACGCUGAUGCGCGAAAGCGUGGGGAGCAAACGGG
rnacentral:rRNA from 1 species